GACGAACGCUGGCGGCGUGCUUAACACAUGCAAGUCGAACGGAAAGGCCCUGCUUUUGUGGGGUGCUCGAGUGGCGAACGGGUGAGUAACACGUGAGUAACCUGCCCUUGACUUUGGGAUAACUUCAGGAAACUGGGGCUAAUACCGGAUAGGAGCUCCUGCUGCAUGGUGGGGGUUGGAAAGUUUCGGCGGUUGGGGAUGGACUCGCGGCUUAUCAGCUUGUUGGUGGGGUAGUGGCUUACCAAGGCUUUGACGGGUAGCCGGCCUGAGAGGGUGACCGGCCACAUUGGGACUGAGAUACGGCCCAGACUCCUACGGGAGACAGCAGUGGGGAAUAUUGCACAAUGGGCGGAAGCCUGAUGCAGCAACGCCGCGUGCGGGAUGACGGCCUUCGGGUUGUAAACCGCUUUCGCCUAUGACGAAGCGUGAGUGACGGUAAUGGGUAAAGAAGCACCGGCUAACUACGUG
rnacentral:rRNA from 1 species